UCACUGGUCAUCCCCUCCCUCUGUCACUGGUCAUCCCCUCCCUCACUCUGUCACUAGUCACCCACUCACUCUAGUGACAGAGUGAGGGAGAGGGUGACUAGUGACAGAGGGAGGGGGUGAAUAGU